AGCCAUGAUGUUUGGUUGCCAUGACAACACCUGCUGAGUCCACAGUUUCGACAAAACCUCCGGGUCAUCAGAACUUGACAGGCUGAUGAGUUUCAGGUGCGGUGAAGCCCCGCCCCCUGUGCUGGCCACGCCCCUUCGGUUUUCCAGCUUUGUUUGGAAAAGGACGGUCCCAGUCAGAGUUGUGAAGGCUCGGUUCUGAUCCAGUUCCCUCAGCGGGCUGAGGUCAGAACUUUAACUGGGUCUCUGCCCCUCCUCCAGGCUUUCCACCUCCUCUUCCUCCCCCGGCCCCCCUCCCUCUGCUCCUCCUCCUCAGGCAGCAGCAGAACCUUGGGAGCAGAGUAGCAGGACGGUUCGGACGGUACCAGGAGUUGGACUUUUUUUAGUCGAGAUGAAGUCGUGGUUGCUGGUUUCGGUUCUGGCCAUGGUUCUGGCCAUGUGCGAGUCCCGGUCUCCGUACCAGACGGUUCUGCAGCACAGCCGGAUCCGAGGCCGGCAGCAGGGGCCCAACGUCUGCGCCAUGCAGCAGAUCAAAGGAACCAACAAGAAGUACUUCACCAACUGCAAGCAGUGGUACCACCGCAAGAUCUGCGGCAAACCGACGUGAGUCACUGAGUGAAACUAGACUGAGUCGUUUCAGUUCAACCGGAACCAUCCGGGCCAGGCGGCUUGGUCAGCUCAGGACGCUGAACGCAGCCUAACCGCAUCAGGACGGAAACAAACAGGAAGUGAGGUUUUUGUUUGCAGGAAGUGGACAGCUGAAGCAGCCUUUAGCGGAGUCUGACUGCAAGUUUGUGACCCGGUUCUGUGUGGAUGGGGAGUCGGAGCAGGAGUGGUGGGGUUGGGGUGUGAAGGGUUCACUGACUCGGGCUCCUUUCAUCACUUCAUUGUUUAGGUUUGUGGUCUGUCUUCUUCUGCUGCAUGUCGGAUAAAAUGCGAUGUUCGACCUGCAGGCGCUGCGGAGCCUGUCGCAUACGGACCUGGUUUACUUCCAGAUACGGGUGGAAACUUCAGAAUCGCGUCGUCCAGUCUGCCAUGUAAAGUCGGAAGUAAGUCGCAUUUGGGGGAAUAAAAUGCAUUGUUCAAAUCUGAUUUUUUUUGCCCAAAUGAGACUUUUAUCCGACUGUUUUCAUGUCAGGCUGAACGGCGUUAAAAGUCGUACUUUGGUGAAAUGUGGGAUUGGUUUCCUGUGUGAGAUUAGCUGCUGGUGCCAGUAGCUGGCCUGCAGUACCAGGACAUGCCACCAGGUGUCACCUGUCCAGGUGUUUCUGUUACCUGACUCCAACCGUCUGGAUGAGCUGGACUCUUUUUAGUCGAGAUGAAGUCAUGGUUGCUGGUUUCCUGGAUUCAUGAAAACUGUCCGGACUCCGAGGGAACGAGCCGCCAUCAUUUUCCAGAUUGUUCUGGAGGCUUUCUAGAAGGUAGAGGGAUAAUGGUGUCUCAGGGGGAAUUCUGGGUAAUUGGUUGAAUCAGACUGGUUCUGGAUUUGGCUGGACCAGACUGGGUCAGACUGGACCAGGCUGUUGUCCUGUGCAGGUUGAGGUGAAGCCAUCAGUAUUUCUCCCAGACGACGUCUGGCGGCUUGGCGAUGGAAGCCGUCAUAAAGAGCGCAAUGUUUCCAAACAGGAAAUGGGAUUUAUUCCUCCGGGAGUGUCGUAGAGCUGCAGGUUUAUGUUGGAGCCAGUUCAGAGCUCCCAGCCAGAUUCCUCUGCUGGAUGUUCCUGGAAACGGAGCGGCUGAGUUACUGCGCCUCGCUCUGUUUGGAUCCACAGCAGACACCUUGUUUAGAACAAACGGGAGCCGGUUUUCCGUCUGGACGGAUAAUCAGGACCAGCCGUUGCCACGGCGCUGAUCUCCAUCUGUGGACGCUUAGUGCCUCCAGACGCCGAUGGCGCUGAGCUUAACGAGCUGCAGCCGCAGAGAGCCGGCCCGGUUCAGGAAGCUCACCUGAACCCCGGGUUCUCUUUCCCAGAUUUCCCCUCUGGUCAAAGGAGAUGAAGAAAAACAUCUGAGUGACUUUGGGUCAAACCCGCCGAGGUCCAGAACCAGCAGGUCCGGUCCAGAUUAAUGAGAAACAAACAGAAACCAGAUCAGAAAUCAGGCAGUGGUACUGGGUCAGAACUUUGGGUCUCAUCCCGACUAGAUGAGCCUCCAGAGGUCAAGAGGUCAAACAUCCCAACUCAGAGUCAGUAGGGCCGCAUGUUCCUGAUAUUAGCAUUAGCAUGCUAACCCUCAGCCUGGAUGUUUUUCACAUUUACCAUCUGCCAUUUGAAGAUGGCUGCCAUUUUUUAAGAUGACAGCCAUUUUGAGCCUUUUAGACCAGUUAUCAAGAAAUGUUUCCCAUCUUCAUGACUUGGACGAACUUUUUGUCUCGUCACGUUCAUGAAACGUUAAAGUGAUAAAACGCAGCAGAAUCAGAAACUGAGGAUUUUACUGUUGGCGAGAUGAGAGACAGACGACUUCAUGGUUAGCAUUAGCUUCUGCUAACAUUUAUGUAUUUAGUGGUUUAGCAAAUUAGUGGUUAGUGAAGCUAACUAUUUGGGUUCUUCCCGGCGCUCCGGGUUCUCCGGCCGUCUUGGAUGCCUGUAGGUUGUUCUCUCAGAGAAAAUGAACUUUAUGAGUCCAGUCGGCCGGUUCUGCUUCAUGGUGGAAGUUCUGAUACGAUUCAUUCAGUUGGGUAGAACUGAGACCGAGUUCUACCCAACCCGGAUCAGAACCAGCAGCUGCUGAAGUAAUCAAUGGAUGAGUUUCUCAGAUGCUGAGACAUUAGAAAUAUUUUGGAGCUGGUAGAAGGCCCACUUUUGAACUGCGUUUAUGAGCCUCUGAAGGGCCAGGUCAGAGGUCAGCCUGAUCUCUGGUUUCAGCUGGGACAACUGAAGCUGUUCUGACUCUAGAUCUAUAACUCUAGAUUGUUAAUCUAAUAACAUCAGUUUAGGGCUGAAACGAUUCUUUGAGUGAUUAGAGUACCUCGAUUAUUAAAAUCCCUUGAGGAAAAUGUAUCUGCCUCAAAGCCUCGUUAAAUUAUGUUUUAAUUUUGGCGCACCGUGUUCCGCCCGGGUCGUUAUUUGUGUUGCGUAGCGACGUCACUUCCGCCUAUGAGUUGUUUCUUGCUAGCAGCAUGACGUUGAAUUUUCCAGUGUUUUAUCAGGUUUUGGGGGACAAAUAAGCAGUUAAAUUGUGUGGCGCGAUGCUUGGAGCACGUCAGUUUUUCUGCUUUCCGCGUCGUCAAACUGGGAUGGGGGAAAGAUUGGAUUACUCAAUUAAUUCUAAAAAAAAAAAAAUCCUAUCCUCCUUAUUCCUAGCCCCCAUGAGGCUUGGCGUGAUUUAUGGGCGUGACUUCCGCUGCUAACCGGAACCGCCAUUUGUUUACAUGUUAGCAACUCGCUAACCGACUUUCCACAGAGGAUUUAUGCUAUAAAAUAUGUGGGAACUCCAGCUAUCACAGCUUAAAUGCUGCAAUAAUGUUUUACAACUACCUGCAGCUAAUGCAGGGAGGGAUGGCGACUCGAAGAAAUGGGCGCAAAUAACACGCACUAGCAUAGUUAGCUACUUCACUGACUCAGUUGCAGAUCCGGGUUUUCUUCCCUUGGCUUUCUAGCCACACAAUGAAAAGAGCACACAUAAAGCAUUUUGGGUUCUCUCUUUCAGUUUAGAAUUUUUAGCCAAAUUCUUUUUGUUUCCUUAUCUGUCGGUAGGCAAUGAAAACUGCCGCCUUUGUUUUGGAACCACGUUCAAGACACACCUGCUGCUGCAGCCACAAAUUAAACUUAGUCUGAUUAUUAAAGUACAGCCACGAACAGCACAACAGUUACCGAGCUCCGAAAGGCACCUUACGACACUUUCCAGUGUAAGUUGCUCUCUGUAACAGGUUAAUGUGUGAUUCGGUUCGGUUCUGGUCCAGUGGGGAGAUUCUCCAUAUUACGGUCUGAGGCGCAGCAGCUGCGGUCAUCUCUCCGCUGAUUUGCAACACGGAGAACCUCGAGGUUCUGGUUCAGAAUGAACCCAGAUAUUUUAUUUUGCCUUAUAGAAAUGUAUUGCUGGCCCAAUUUACACACUUGUGAAAAAUUGAAAUGAAAAAUAAAAUUCACCUCACACCAAGCUAAUAUUAUGUAGUUCUGCUGUUUUAUUCUGUCAGUGCUAAACUGCAGCUCAGAUCUCUGACCAGCUUCUCUGCUUUUCUCUUCUUUAUUCCUGUCAGCUCUUCAGAGAAACGAGCUGCUAGCAGCGAUGCUAAUUCACGGUCAUUUCGUUACAAAACUUAACGAUCGUGUUCCUGUCGCUCCCCACAUUAAACUCACAGUUACGAUCCUCUGCACUGAGCAGCUCUCUGACAGCAGACGGCAUGUCCGUGAACAAGUUUAACUAAAUAUUGUAUUAUAACCGAAAAGAGAGAUGCAACUUCUAUCAUGAAUUAGCAAAA